rnacentral:lncRNA from 1 species
UGGGACAGUCGUGGUGGACCCCUGGCCCCCGGGCGAGCAGCACAGAGCGACACAGGAGCUCUGUGGUUGGGUUGGCUGUCCACCCCGUGGUUCAGUCCCUGUGGCUAAGCCAGGCAUGGGCAGGGCUCACGGGUGGUUCAACCAGGUGAGGGGGCACUUCUGGUUGGAGGUGUCCUGAGGGCCAUGGGUGGGGGACUCUAGAGUGUGCUGCUGCAGGGAGGGAGGUCCCGUGGGGAGUGCUCUGCAGCAGGAGGAUGUCCUACUGGGGGCAGAAAGUGCCUUUCAUUUGUUCCCAUGUGACAAGCCAGUGAGGACUUCUGUUGGGAGAGACUGAAUAUUGCUAAAGUGAGCUGAGCGCUGGGCGUAGAUUUCCUCACCCUCCAGGGAUGCAAAUCCCAGAGGAACACGAUGUGGACUCCUCUGGGUGCUGGGAACAAACAUGUGGCUAUAGAUCUCAGCCUCUCCCGAGAUUUCACUGCUGCACCCAGAGGAAAGGGGCCUCUGCGUUAGGAGGGUGCCCGCAUCCCCUAAAGGACCCAGCUGCCUGGCGCAUGGAUGGGCUGGGAGGCACUCCACUCCCAUCAGCCUCCCUGGGACCUCCACGAGCUCAGGGAGUUACUCCCCUGUCCCAGGCCCGUCCUCAGGGUCCAGCUAGGGACAGAGGAGGGGGCGGCUCACACCUAAGUACAGAUGCUCCCUGGUGACAGGGCUUCCUUCUGAUAAACCCAUCACAGGUGAAGGUGCCAUGAGCUGAGAGUACCCACACCACAGCUGAGCCACGCUGUACCCCGCAGAGUGUGGGUGAACCACAGGGCCACUGUCUAGCACCAUGAGACAGGGAGGCACCAGCCAUGGCCAGCUGGAGGAGACCCGGAAUCAAAAUCUGAGGGGCCAUCUCUACUGAAUGUGUAUUGCUUUAGAACCAUCCCAAAUAGAAAAAUUGUAAGUUGAACCAUUGUAAGCUGGGCCGUCUGUGUCCAGAGGCUGAGAAGCUGGAUGAGGACAAGGUCCAUGGCCCCUGGCUUCUUCCCAGUCUGGAGGCCUCGCGUUGUCCAUUCUGUGCUGCUGGAUCCCGGGCACAGCCCACUGUAAAUCCAGCAUCUGUGACAGUGUGGACUUCACAUGACUGAUUCAUUGCAGGAACAGAAGGUGCUGCCCUUCUUGAAUACCCUUUCUGCUCACUCUGAUGACCAGCUGCUCCGUCUUGCCCAGGGGAAGGGACCAG